UACGUAGGGGGCGAGCGUUGUCCGGAAUUACUGGGCGUAAAGGGCGCGUAGGCGGUCCUUUAAGUCCGCGGUGAAAGCCCGGGGCUCAACCCCGGAGGGUCCGCGGAGACUGGAGGACUGGAGGGUCGGAGAGGAGUGCGGAAUUCCUGGUGUAGCGGUGGAAUGCGUAGAGAUCAGGAGGAACACCGAGGGCGAAGGCAGCACUCUGGCCGAAGUCCUGACGCUGAGGCGCGAAAGCUGGGGGAGCGAACGGG
rnacentral:rRNA from 1 species